GCUGCUGUACUCAGAGGGCCACACCCCCCGCCCAUAUAGAACAUGUCCCGGCCUCCUAUAAAGACUCUCCAUCGUGGACACUUUGUACUCUCUCCACCACCACGCCGUCCUAAAACCAGGUGCAACUGCAGGUCUUGAGCCACUCCAGCUCUUCCCUCAUCGACUCUCAUCACAUCUACAGACAUGAUCAUCAGACUGGGCAGACUGACUCCUGGAUACUUCCGCCUCCUCCAGAGGCAAGUGGCCGGUGAGGUGCAGACGCAGCCACAAGACCGUGCAGUCAACCAGCUAGCCAUGAUGCUCGCCAUCAUGGGCCUGAGUUUGUCCUACUACAGUGCCAAACAGAUGACGGAGAAGGCCCAGGCCCAGCCUGCGCCCUGAAGAGGCUUGACUACGCUGGUCGUGGAGAUGAUGGAUGAGCCAAUGAGAGGGGGGGGGGGAGGAGGGGAGGAGCAGAGGCACAGCUGUGUCUUCCAGGACCACACUUUUCUGACCUCACGGUCAAAGUCUCACUCGGACACUGAAUUUCUUGGAUCCCUCACUCACCAUGACUUCAGGGCCGCUGUGUUUUCUUUACUUUCUGUUGUCGGGCCUUGAGGGGAUUGUGGGGACGGCUCACUUGUGGUCCUGGAUAAGACUUGUUUUAUGGACUGGUUUGGGUGGGUGAUCAAAACCAGCUGACUGCUAACUGGGUCUGACCACUAGUCGUUACAAAAGGUACAUGCUUGCAAGAUGCCGUCAAUACUGUUCUCGGCUACAAAAAGGGGAAACGAUCUCUAGUAUAACUGUGAAUUGUCAGUGCUCCAAAUAUAUGAAUGAACAGUAAUGCCCCUUUAAGGGAAAGGCUGACUGCAAUUGAGAUGUACCUUGUGAUGAAGUUAUGGCAGACCCAGAAUAUGGUAAAAGGGGAUUAAAAAGUUAAAUCGACUUCAUAAUUCACAACUUUCUUACUUUACGAGAGAACCUUGUGAGCAGAUGCGGAGCUGUACACAAACUGUCGACAUGAUAUACUUGUGACAUGUAUCUGUCAGGUGUCAAAUUCAGUGACUAUUUGGGCAAAAGUUUCACUUUCUGUGAUUUUGAUUUAUAAUCUAUGAAGUCCUGUUAAUUAGACGUGUGAUGACUUUAAUAAGCACCUGGUUAAAAACCCUUCCUGCAAUAUUAUCUGCCACAUGUUAAUGCAAACAUUUAACUUUACUGAACAUUGCAUGGGCGUGCAGACUUUUAAUCUAAGCAAAGUGAAUAAGGAUCUUGUUUUUAAUGAUGAAUGUAUUACUUUAUUUUGUAAUUUAAUAAAGCUGUGAAUAUUUUGAAUGAGAUGUACAGUGGAUAUUUAGUGAUUUUAUUUAAAAAAAAAAAAAAGUUUUAAUGCUAACUCGGAUUAAUCAUAAACUCAAGUUUCUCCACAAGCAAACAGUUGCUGGAGUUGAGUUUGAACAGUUCCUUGGU